GAGUUUGAUCCUGGCUCAGAUUGAACGCUGGCGGCAUGCUUUACACAUGCAAGUCGAACGGCAGCGCGGGCUUCGGCCUGGCGGCGAGUGGCGAACGGGUGAGUAAUAUAUCGGAACGUACCCAAGAGUGGGGGAUAACGUAGCGAAAGUUACGCUAAUACCGCAUACGAUCUAAGGAUGAAAGCAGGGGAUCGCAAGACCUUGUGCUCCUGGAGCGGCCGAUAUCUGAUUAGCUAGUUGGUGAGGUAAAGGCUCACCAAGGCAACGAUCAGUAGCUGGUCUGAGAGGACGACCAGCCACACUGGAACUGAGACACGGUCCAGACUCCUACGGGAGGCAGCAGUGGGGAAUUUUGGACAAUGGGGGCAACCCUGAUCCAGCAAUGCCGCGUGAGUGAAGAAGGCCUUC
rnacentral:rRNA from 1 species